AUCCUUUUGCAAUUCAUGAGCAUGAUGAUGGGGUAUCACACUAUGUGUGAGAUGUGCCUCCCUCAAAGCUUCUUCCUACAGGUUGGCACUUUGCCCACCUGACA